rnacentral:misc_RNA from 1 species
UGGUUCCAGCAUCGAUGAAGAACGCAGCGAAAUGCGAUAAGUAAUGUGAAUUGCAGAAUUCCGUGAAUCAUUGAGUCUUUGAACGCACAUUGCGCUCCUUGGUAUUCCGAGGAGCACGCCUGUUUGAGCGUCAUUCCACUCUCCCCUCGGGGUGUUGGACGCGGCCGCGGCCGGGACUCAAAGGCAUGAGCGGCGACGGAUGAACCCUCGUCGAGUCGCCUUGGAUUGACCGUUGACCUCAGAUCAGGCGGGGAUACCCGCUGA